CGCGGGAUGGAGCAGUCCGGUAGCUCGUCAGGCUCAUAACCUGAAGGUCGUAGGUUCAAAUCCUACUCCCGCAACCA
rnacentral:tRNA from 57 species